rnacentral:rRNA from 1 species
UGGGGGAUAUUGCACAAUGGGGGAAACCCUGAUGCAGCGACGCCGCGUGGAGGAAGAAGGUUUUCGGAUUGUAAACUCCUGUCGUUAGGGACGAUAAUGACGGUACCUAACAAGAAAGCACCGGCUAACUACGUGCCAGCAGCCGCGGUAAAACGUAGGGUGCAAGCGUUGUCCGGAAUUACUGGGUGUAAAGGGAGCGCAGGCGGACCGGCAAGUUGGAAGUGAAAUCUAUGGGCUCAACCCAUAAAUUGCUUUCAAAACUGCUGGCCUUGAGUAGUGCAGAGGUAGGUGGAAUUCCCGGUGUAGCGGUGGAAUGCGUAGAUAUCGGGAGGAACACCAGUGGCGAAGGCGACCUACUGGGCACCAACUGACGCUGAGGCUCGAAAGCAUGGGUAGCAAACAG